rnacentral:rRNA from 1 species
AUGAACGCUGGCGGCGUGCCUAAUCCAUGCAAGUCGCGCGAACGGACGAGAAGCUUGCUUCUCUGAUGUUAGCGGCGGACGGGUGAGUAACACGUGGAUAACCUACCUAUAAGACUGGGAUAACUUCGGGAAACCGUAGCUAAUACCGGAUAAUAUUUUGAACCGCAUGGUUCAAAAGUGAAAGACGGUCUUGCUGUCACUUAUAGAUGGAUCCGCGCUGCAUUAGCUAGUUGGUAAGGUAACGGCUUACCAAGGCAACGAUGCAUAGCCGACCUGAGAGGGUGAUCGGCCACACUGGAACUGAGACACGGUCCAGACUCCUACGGGAGGCAGCAGUAGGGAAUCUUCCGCAAUGGGCGAAAGCCUGACGGAGCAACGCCGCGUGAGUGAUGAAGGUCUUCGGAUCGUAAAACUCUGUUAUUAGGGAAGAACAUAUGUGUAAGUAACUGUGCACAUCUUGACGGUACCUGAUCAGAAAGCCACGGCUAACUACGUG